rnacentral:tRNA from 1 species
GUCCCCGUAGCUCAAGCGGAUAGAGCAGGGCUCUCCUAAAGCUCAGAUCCCAGUUCGACUCUGGGCGAGGAUA